GACGAACGCUGGCGGCGUGCUUAACACAUGCAAGUCGAACGGAAAGGCCCUGCUUUUGUGGGGUGCUCGAGUGGCGAACGGGUGCGUAACACGUGAGUAACCUGCCCUUGACUUUGGGAUAACUUCAGGAAACUGGGGCUAAUACCGUAUAGGAUCUCCUGCUGCAUGGUGGGGGUUGGAAAGUCUCGGCGGGUGGGGAUGGACUCGCGGCUUAUCAGCUUGUUGGUGGGGUAGUGGCUUACCAAGGCUUUGACUGGUAGCCGGCCUGAGAGGGUGACCGGCCACAUGGGGACUGAGAUACGGCCCAGACUCCUACGGGAGGCAGCAGUGGGGAAUAUUGCACAAUGGGCGGAAGCCUGAUGCAGCAACGCCGCGUGCGGGAUGACGGCCUGCGGGUUGUAAACCGCUUUCGCCUGUGACGAAGCGUGAGUGACGGUAAUGGGUAAAGAAGCACCGGCUAACUACGUG
rnacentral:rRNA from 1 species